rnacentral:rRNA from 1 species
CUACGUGCCAGCAGCCGCGGUAAUACGGAAGGUCCGGGCGUUAUCCGGAUUUAUUGGGUUUAAAGGGAGCGUAGGCUGGAGAUUAAGUGUGUUGUGAAAUGUAGACGCUCAACGUCUGACUUGCAGCGCAUACUGGUUUCCUUGAGUACGCACAACGUUGGCGGAAUUCGUCGUGUAGCGGUGAAAUGCUUAGAUAUGACGAAGAACUCCGAUUGCGAAGGCAGCUGACGGGAGCGCAACUGACGCUUAAGCUCGAAGGUGCGGGUAUCGAACAGGAUUAGAUACCCUGGUAGUCCGCACAGUAAACGAUGGAUGCCCGCUGUUGGUACCUGGUAUCAGCGGCUAAGCGAAAGCAUUAAGCAUCCCACCUGGGGAGUACGCCGGCAACGGUGAAACUCAAAGGAAUUGACGGGGGCCCGCACAAGCGGAGGAACAUGUGGUUUAAUUCGAUGAUACGCGAGGAACCUUACCCGGGCUUGAAUUGCAGAGGAAGGAUUUAGAGAUA